rnacentral:lncRNA from 1 species
CGGAUCUCGCGAUGUUUCAGGGUGAGCCGGACGCAGGCGUGCCUGCGCAGUGCGCGGAGGAGUGCUGUUCGUGUGUUCGAGUCCCUGGGUUGCUUCCUGGGGUCUGUGGUGCUGGGUGUGCUAUCUGCGUGUGAUUCUCUAGCGAGAGAUUGUGGGCGAGUGACCGAGUGGGCAAGGGGCCGUCACUGUGUGUGCGUGAUUUUGACAGUGUGUGGUGGUAGCUUCUGACUCCGCGUGGGUCGUUGAAUGUAUGACUGGGACCGUUUAGCGGUGGAUACACAACUGUGUGCGGCUGUGGAAGAUUGCCUCAUCCGUUACGUUCCCAUUUCCGUGGAACAACAGUUUUACCAGAAGGUUUCGAAGGAACCUUAAAGUUUGGAAGCGCGGCUUUGGUGUCAUCAAAUGUGAGAAGCCCUGGACUUUACACAUCCCGAGCCAGUGUGAUCCAGUAUGAUUGGGAGUCCGAGUGCCAGAUGCCGGUCAGGACCUGUUAUGCUGGGUCUCAGAAUGCGGAAACUCUCCCUGUCCGAGGUGGAACAGUUUGUCCUUGAGUGAGGACUGGAGUCCUGAGUGACUCUUUUGAUUUGAUCCUGUUUCCCUCAAACCUGAGAUGGGAGCCUCACUGUAUUGCCCAGGCUGGUCUUGAACUCCGGAGCUCAAGUGAUCGUCUUGCUUCAGCCUUGCAAAAUGAUGGUGAAGCUGCAUCAUUGUCUGGGGUAAAUACCUGAGGUUCGUUGUCUCACGCCAAGGGAAUCAAGGACGUGGACACACAAGAAGUGAGUUUAAGAGCGGAGGUUUAAUAGGCGAAAGAGAAAAGAGAAUAGCUCUAGCUCCUGCAGAGAGAAAAGGGCUCCCAAGUAGGACUUCCAGUCCGUGGCGAAGGGCACGGGGUUUAUAGACUGGCUUCAGGAGGUGGUGUCUGAUUUACGUAGGCCCCAAAGAUUGGUUGGACCAGGUGUGCCAAUCAGAAGCUGGCUGCCCCACCCUAAUCUUUUAUUAUGCAGAUGGAGUCCCUGUCUGACCGGGCCAUGUUGUAUGUUCCUUGCUGUACACGUGGUUGACAAAGAAAAGGGAAGAUGGAGCUGCGAUGUUGGACAUGCCUGGCCCCCAGGACAUACAGCCCUGCCGAGCAAAUAAUGAACGUAACUCACAAACUUCCUGCUUAUCAUCAAACGCACGCAUCCACUUAUCAUCAAACACCUCGGGUGACAGAAGAAUGCAGGUCAGCUCCCUGCUGCCUUGGCAUUAUCAAUCAGCCCAGGAACCAUCCUAUAAAAUCUCCAGCAAGCCUUUGUUUCCUUGCAGUCAGCUCCUCUUCCACUGAUUCUGCCUGUUGCUCCCUGAUAACAUACUUUGAUACUGUCUUUAAUAAAUCUGCCUUUCUUCACCCACAGCUGUCUUGGUAAGUUCUUUUACCUCUGUGCCACCAGCCCAAACAGUUGCUGCUCACCUGAAACAAAGAAUAAAUGUGGUUUUUAAGCAAAUCAAAGUUUACUUAGUGACUCUUACCAAGCUUUGUAGAAGGUUGUGCCAAAAGGAGAAGCUUAAGAGAUAACGGCUAAAAAUAAAAAAUGUUACCACCGCCCAAGGGGUUCUUCCUGCCCACUGCAUAAAGAAA